rnacentral:rRNA from 1 species
GACGAACGCUGGCGGCGUGCUUAACACAUGCAAGUCGAACGGUAAGGCCCUUCGGGGUACACGAGUGGCGAACGGGUGAGUAACACGUGGGUGAUCUGCCCUGCACUUCGGGAUAAGCCUGGGAAACUGGGUCUAAUACCGGAUAGGACCACUGCCUGCAUGGGUGGUGGUGGAAAGCUUUUGCGGUGUGGGAUGGGCCCGCGGCCUAUCAGCUUGUUGGUGGGGUGAUGGCCUACCAAGGCGACGACGGGUAGCCGGCCUGAGAGGGUGACCGGCCACACUGGGACUGAGAUACGGCCCAGACUCCUACGGGAGGCAGCAGUGGGGAAUAUUGCACAAUGGGCGCAAGCCUGAUGCAGCGACGCCGCGUGAGGGGUGACGGCCUUCGGGUUGUAAACCUCUUUCAGCACCGACGAAGCGCAAGUGACGGUAGGUGCAGAGGAAGGACCGGCCAACUACGUGCCAGCCGCCGCUGUAA